GAUGAAGAACGUAGCGAAAUGCGAUAAGUAAUGUGAAUUGCAGAAUUCAGUGAAUCAUCGAAUCUUUGAACGCACAUUGCGCCCAUUAGUAUUCUAGUGGGCAUGCCUGUUCGAGCGUCAUUUCAACCCUCAAGCCUUAGUUGCUUGGUGUUGGGAGCUUAUCUUGCCGAAAGGCGGGACAACUCCUUAAAUUUAUCGGCGGAGUCGCGGUGACCCCAAGCGUAGUAAAUUAUUUUUUCCUCGCUUUAGGUGUUAACGCUGGCUUUUCUAGCCGUUAAACCCCCCCAAAUAUUUUAAUGGUUGACCUCGGAUCAGGUAGGACUACCCGCUGAACUUAAGCAUAUCAAUAAGCGGAGGA
rnacentral:misc_RNA from 1 species